UCUUUUUUUUUUGGCAGUAUUUAGCUACACGCAUUUCAUCACACAUUUUCUGAGCGCGGUGGGCGUGUCGACGAGCUGACGUCACGCGUCACGUGCUCUUGCGGCAGCAAGGGACUGUAUCUGGACGCGAACACAAACCGAGCGAUGAGUUCAGUAAUCCCAGAGACACAGAGGCCGUGUAUCACAACCUCAAACCCGCGCUCUCAGACAGCAGCUGGAGAACCUCAGCGUCCGGUCGGAGAGAGUCGAGGUCUGGGCUUCAGCUGCUCCAGAGGUCCUGGAGAAGAGCCGACUCGGGAUAUUUGCCCCAAACAAGGAGAGUUCAUGCUCAGUUCUACAUGUUCACAUGAAUCUGAGCCCUAUCUCUGCCCAGUCUGACCCUGGGAAAACCUUCAGAAGAGUUCUUAUAAACAUUUGAUAUUCGAGAAGAUGAGAGCCUUCAUUCAUGUCAGAUCAGUGAACAGAUUCUUAAAACAAAGGUUUUUCAUGAAAGCAUCAAUGCCAAUGGAGAAGAGUGUAGAGUCUGACAAUUCCUCGUAAUGAAUCAAUCAAAAAGACUCAAACAGUCCCGAACUCACAUUUUGAAUUGGUCUAAUCAAUCACUACAGUGUGAACUGACGGAUAAAUGACUCUCUGAAUGAUUCCUUGAACUGAAUCGGUCAAAAGACUCACAAACAACACAGACUCACGGACUAAUGACUCUACACUCCUAAAAAUACAGGUUCCUAAAGGGAGUUUUCACAGUGAUCUCAAUCUGCAGAUGGCUUCAUCGGCUCGGAGCGGACUGUAGGCGCCGCAUGCUGUCCUCAGUCUGGGGCUCGGGACGGAGGACGACACCGAGCGUCUGCAGGACGUGUUUGUGGAGUUCAGUCAUCAGGAUCUGCUGGACUUCUACAAUCAGAUGGAGAUGAUUCAGACUCAGCUGACACGGCUCUGUCUGCUAUCCCAUGAUUCCUCCGCUGACGUCUGUGGCUGUUUCUGGAUGUGUGUAUUUCAGACUGACGCUCUGGAGUGCUGGAAGGUGAAGUGUUAAUGAACCGAA